rnacentral:lncRNA from 1 species
AGUGGCAGAGAGAUUGACGCUGAGGAAGAAUGACUAUACCGACGCUGUAACCGUGGAACUGGGUCUUAAACAAGUUCAUGAGGCAGAAGGAGCACUUGUGCAAAGGCAGGGAGACAGGGGACACCGCAACUUAUCCUGAGAACUAGAAGAAUGAUGGGAGCCCGGGGGUGCGGAGUGAAAAACCCACAAUGAUGAUGAAAUUAGAAAGGAAGACAAGAACAACAAGGUUGUGGAAUUCAGAAGCCAUAGAGACAAGAGGUAACACACCUGAGAAAGAUGAUCCCUAAGUUUGUCUUGGAGAAAACUCAGAAGUACCUGACUACAUCGUAGACCUCCCAAACAGCUUCCAAAUGUCAGAUACCACUGAACAUGGGGAUAAAGCUGGGAAAACGGCAAUGGAUUAAUAACAAGAAAUUAAUGGUGAAGUGGUGACUAAAAUUCUACAUUGCUUAGAAAGCAAGUAAGAAAAUCAGUGGUUGUAGAGAAGUUCUUCCAUGAGAUAGUGAAAUGAACAUUUACAUUCUGGCAACCUCAGAAGUACAACGAACAGAGGACACCCGCCAGGUAGGGCAAAGGCCUGUGCACCCCCUUUUGCUGUUACAUGUUUACCAGGUGCG